rnacentral:rRNA from 1 species
AUGCUCAGGAUGAACGCUAGCGGCAGGCCUAACACAUGCAAGUCGAGGGGGUAACAGGGAGUAGCAAUACUCUGCUGACGACCGGCGCACGGGUGCGUAACGCGUAUGCAACCUACCUUCAACAGGGGGAUAACCCAGAGAAAUCCGGACUAAUACCCCGUAUAGUAGCGGGACCGCAUGAUCUUGCUACGAAAGCUUCGGUGGUUGGAGAUGGGCAUGCGUGACAUUAGCUAGUUGGCGGGGCAACGGCCCACCAAGGCUGCGAUGUCUAGGGGAGCUGAGAGGCUAAUCCCCCACACUGGUACUGAGACACGGACCAGACUCCUACGGGAGGCAGCAGUGAGGAAUAUUGGUCAAUGGACGGAAGUCUGAACCAGCCAUGCCGCGUGAAGGAAAGAAGGCCCUAUGGGUUGUAAACUUCUUUUGUGCGAGAGUAAUAAGGUGGAUGCGUCCGCCGAUGAGAGUAUCGUACGAAUAAGCAUCGGCUAACUCCGUGCCAGCCGCUGC